rnacentral:rRNA from 1 species
CCGUUGUACACACCGCCCGUCACACCAUGGGAGUGGGUUUCACCAGAAGUAGGUAGCCUAACCGCAAGGGGGGCGCUUACCACGGUGAGAUUCAUGACUGGGGUG